rnacentral:rRNA from 1 species
GUGAGGAAUAUUGGUCAAUGGCCGAGAGGCUGAACCAGCCAAGUCGCGUGAGGGAAGACGGCCCUACGGGUUGUAAACCUCUUUUGUCGGGGAGCAAAGCGAACCACGUGUGGUUCAUUGAGAGUACCCGAAGAAAAAGCAUCGGCUAACUCCGUGCCAGCAGCCGCGGUAAUACGGAGGAUGCGAGCGUUAUCCGGAUUUAUUGGGUUUAAAGGGUGCGCAGGCGGAGGUGCAAGUCAGCGGUCAAAUUGCGGGGCUCAACCCCGUACUGCCGUUGAAACUGCAUCCCUUGAGUGCGCGAGAAGUAUGCGGAAUGCGUGGUGUAGCGGUGAAAUGCAUAGAUAUCACGCAGAACUCCGAUUGCGAAGGCAGCAUACCGGCGCGCAACUGACGCUCAUGCACGAAAGCGUGGGUAUCGAACAGG